GCUGUAGCUCCAUGGCAGAGCAUCUGCCUUGAAUGCAGAAGGUCUCAGGUUCAACCCCCAAAGGCAUCUCCA